rnacentral:rRNA from 1 species
GAUGAACGCUGGCGGCGUGCUUAACACAUGCAAGUCGAACGGAGAGGCCCUGCUUUUGUGGGGUGCUCGAGUGGCGAACGGGUGAGUAACACGUGAGUAACCUGCCCUUGACUUUGGGAUAACUUCAGGAAACUGGGGCUAAUACCGGAUAGGAGCUCCUGCUGCAUGGUGGGGGUUGGAAAGUUUCGGCGGUUGGGGAUGGACUCGCGGCUUAUCAGCUUGUUGGUGGGGUAGUGGCUUACCAAGGCUUUGACGGGUAGCCGGCCUGAGAGGGUGACCGGCCACAUUGGGACUGAGAUACGGCCCAGACUCCUACGGGAGGCAGCAGUGGGGAAUAUUGCACAAUGGGCGGAAGCCUGAUGCAGCAACGCCGCGUGCGGGAUGACGGCCUUCGGGUUGUAAACCGCUUUCGCCUGUGACGAAGCGUGAGUGACGGUAAUGGGUAAAGAAGCACCGGCUAACUACGUG